GAUGAACGCUGGCGGCGUGCCUAACACAUGCAAGUCGAACGGAGUCCAGCCUUUAAGACCUUCGGGUCAAAGAGGGGAAGACUGAGUGGCGGACGGGUGAGUAACACGUGGGCAACCUGGAUCAUAGAGGGGGAUAACAGAGAGAAAUUUCUGCUAUUCCCGCACAAGCACACACUGCCGCAUGGCAGGUGGUGACACGAGGAUCGCUAUGGGAUGGACCCGCGUCUGAUUAGCCAGUUGGCAGGGUAAUAGCCGACCAGAGCGACGAUCAGUACCCGAUCUGAGAGGAUGCACGGCUACAUUGGGACUGAGACCCAGCCCACACUCCUACGGGAGGCAGCAGUGUGGGGUAUUGCACAAUGGAGGGAACCCUGAUGCAGCGACGCCGCGUGAGUGAGGAAGUAGUUCGGUAUGUAAAGCUCUAUCAGCAGGGGAGAUAAUGACGGUACCUGAUAAAGAAGCCCCGGCUAACUACGUG
rnacentral:rRNA from 1 species